AUGAAUCUGAAAUGGCAAGGGAGGCAGAAAGAAUCAAGAGGGAGAGCACGGACAAUGCACACUGGGAUCCCAAAGACUGCGAAUCUUCUUUCCUUUUGCAUUUUCGUCUAUUUUCACAGACGAGGGAGAAAUAUAUGUUUACAAUAGGAAUUUAAGCAAUUACAAAUAAACAAAAGGAAGAAAAAGAAAACCAGCCUAACUAUAUGGUUUCCAAACGCCUCAUGUGAUGUCCAGAGUUCAGAGUUAUUCACCUCUGAAUACUCACUCAGCAAUGAAGAAAGUUAUGUGGUCAGCAGAAAUAACUAUCUUGACGUAGCAAUUCAGGGAACAUCUAUUUUAAAUCUGUCCCUUGGAAAUUUCACGAAUGAUUUAUCAAAGUCAUAUAUGAUCUAUAACUGUUUCCUUGAGAUAAAUUCUUAGGGGUAGAAUGGCAGGAUCAGAGAGUAUAAAAAGUGUGAGACUUGUAGGAAAGACGGUGGAAUGAGAUGGACAUCAUUACCCUAAGUACAUGUAUGAAGACACAAAUGGCGUGAUUCUACUUUGUGUACAACCAGAGAAAUGAAAAAUUGUGCUCUAUAUGUGUACUAUGAAUUGAAAUGCAUUCUGCUGUCAUGUAUAAUGAAUUAAAAUAAGUAAAUAAAUA
rnacentral:lncRNA from 1 species